UACAGAGGUCUCAAGCGUUGUUCGGAUUCAUUGGGCGUAAAGGGUGCGUAGGUGGCGCCGUAAGUCGGGUGUGAAAUUUCGGAGCUUAACUCCGAAACUGCAUUCGAUACUGCGGUGCUUUGAGGACUGGAGAGGAGACUGGAAUUCCUGGUGUAGCGGUGAAAUGCGCAGAUAUCAGGAAGAACACCUAUGGCGAAGGCAGCUCUCUGGGGACGGUACUGACGCUGAGACGCGAAAAGCGUGGGGGAGCGAACAGG
rnacentral:rRNA from 1 species